GCCUCGCGCAGGCGCAGUGGCCUUGGUAUCCGUCCAAGGAUCACCCUAAUAUCAACGCCCUGCCCGGCACAAAUGUGACAGGUGAAUCCCAGAGCCUACUUCACGGAGGUCCUGGCUUCAACAGCAAGAAAGACAUGAUACAACGCAGCUGGAGAUGAGAGGAAUCUGGUGUCUCACCCUAAGUCUUUCCACAUAGGAAUUUGUACAAUCACAGGGAAGGGCAUGUCGUCCUUAUUCUUGAGGAGCACCAAGAGCCUGGUGAGAGAGCUGGGCAGGAAGGGUGAGCUGGUGCCUGUGGACAGCCUCAGCAGCUCACAGCGCCUGCGCCCCUUCUGCCUGGUGAGGAAGAAGCACAAGAGCUACCUCUGGCCUUGGGACACACCCCUCAUCCCCACAGACUUCUCCCUCCUCGAUGUGCUGGAGCCUGGCUGUCCUGACCCAGAGGUGAACCACAGCGGGCCUAUCUACACCUGGGAGAAGGAGGCAGGAGGAUUGACAGGGGCUGUGAGCCUGAGCGCUGGGCUGCAGGGCCAGGUGACCGGAAGUGGCAAGACCACCUGCCUCUCUGCCUUGGCUGUGCAGACACUCUGGGUCUCCCCUUGUACCUGGGAGAUGCUGCUAGAGAAGAGGAAACUGAGGUCACCCAGGCGCUCCUUCCUCCAGGAGCUACACAGCCGGAAGGAGAGGAGAGUCUAUAUGUGGUAACUGAGGCUGUGGAGACCCUGCAAGAUGCCAUGCUUCAGAGCCACAGCCACAUGCUAGGAGCUGGGCAGCUGUCCCUCCUACAGUUGGGCCAUGGUCAGGUGUACAGUGUGCCAGAGUGGGCCAAUGGUGGGCAGUGAGGUUGGAAUAUCAUCAACUUCAUGAGGAUGCUCUAUCUAGAAUUCUCCUUACCCUGAAGGGGAAAGCAGGCCUUGGAAGAUGACAUGGUCUCAGCCCUGCCUACACAGGUUUUUCUGAGGUUUCUCAUGUUCGCACACCAGGGUCCCCCCUUCCUUCUGUUUUGAAUCAGGGUCUUAAUAUAUUGCCCAAUCGGGACCCAAAUAACCUCCUAUGUCUACCUCCCAGGUACCUGGUGUUACAGAUGACACAGUGUAAGCCCCUAUGCCGUUAUCAUGGGUCUGAAAUAGCAC